CGUAGGGGGCGAGCGUUGUCCGGAUUUAUUGGGCGUAAAGAGCUCGUAGGCGGUUCGGCAAGUCGACGGUGAAAUCUCCACGCUCAACGUGGAGGGGUCCGUCGAUACUGCCGUGACUCGAGUCCGGUAGGGGAGUGUGGAAUUCCCGGUGUAGCGGUGAAAUGCGCAGAGAUCGGGAGGAACACCCGUAGCGAAGGCGGCACUCUGGGCCGGUACUGACGCUGAGGAGCGAAAGCGUGGGGAGCAAACAGGAUUAGAUACCCUGGUAGUCCACGCCGUAAACGUUGGGCACUAGGUGUGGGGCUCUAUCGACGGGUUCCGUGCCGUAGCUAACGCAUUAAGUGCCCCGCCUGGGGAGUACGGCCGCAAGGCUA
rnacentral:rRNA from 1 species